AACGAACGCUGGCGGCAUGCCUAACACAUGCAAGUCGAACGCCUGUAGCAAUACAGGAGUGGCAGACGGGUGCAUAACACGUGGGAACCUACCCUAGGGUUCGGAAUAACCGCGGGAAACUGCGGCUAAUACCGGAUACGUCCUCUGGGAGAAAGAUUUAUCGCCCUUGGAGGGGCCCGCGUCGGAUUAGCUAGUUGGUGAGGUAACGGCUCACCAAGGCGACGAUCCGUAGCUGAUCUGAGAGGAUGAUCAGCCACACUGGAACUGAGACACGGUCCAGACUCCUACGGGAGGCAGCAGUGGGGAAUAUUGGACAAUGGGGGCAACCCUGAUCCAGCAAUGCCGCGUGGGUGAUGAAGGCC
rnacentral:rRNA from 1 species